GACAGAGGGGGCAAGCGUUGCUCGGAAUUACUGGGCGUAAAGGGCGCGUAGGCGGAAUGGCAAGUCGGUCGUGAAAUCCUUCGGCUCAACCGAAGAACGUCGAUCGGAACUGCCGUUCUUGAGGAUUGCAGAGGAGACUGGAAUUCCCGGUGUAGCGGUGAAAUGUGUAGAGAUCGGGAGGAACACCGGUGGCGAAGGCGGGUCUCUGGGCAAUUCCUGACGCUGAGGCGCGAAAGCGUGGGGAGCAAACGGG
rnacentral:rRNA from 1 species